CUUGUCGCUUGGCCAGAAAUGUGGCGUACACCUCAACUAGCGACACCCUGUGGCUUCUACAGUUGUCCAGAUUUAGAAAGGGGGGGUGUCCAGCUUUUGUGUAAUGGGAUUUAUCGCCAGCAAGCUUCUACUUAGAUUUCUUCCAUGAAUUUGCAGUUUUGGCGCAGUUUUAAGUACUGAAAUGUGAAGAAUGAACAAAAUUCUUUCGUUUGAGCCCUAAAACAGCAAGAAAUAUCAUCUAGAAAUGUUAUUCCAGCUUGAUUUAUGAGGCCAAGAAACUUCAUAUUUUCUAAGUUCUUUUCAGAAAUUUUAUUUUAAUAAUUUCCUGAGAUUUCAGGCAUUUAGAGUAAAUAUUUUGCAAACCCAGAUAGAAUAGCAAAAAUUCUUCAUAAUGGUAUAGUUUUCGCGAUAUUUGCUCAUCAUAUAGGACUUUUAAACCAAAAUUUCUUCGGUUGUCCAAAAUUUGUAGCGUUCAGGCCUGUCCAGAUUUUGAGACAUUACCCUAA